rnacentral:rRNA from 1 species
AUUGAACGUUUGCGGCAGGCUUAACACAUGCAAGUCGAACGAUGACUCUCUAGCUUGCUAGAGAAGAUUAGUGGCGGACGGGUGAGUAACAUUUAGGAAUCUGCCUAGUAGUGGGGGAUAGCUCGGGGAAACUCGAAUUAAUACCGCAUACAACCUACGGGUGAAAGGGGGCGCAAGCUCUUGCUAUUAGAUGAGCCUAAAUCAGAUUAGCUAGUUGGUGGGGUAAAGGCCCACCAAGGCGACGAUCUGUAACUGGUCUGAGAGGAUGAUCAGUCACACCGGAACUGAGACACGGUCCGGACUCCUACGGGAGGCAGCAGUGGGGAAUAUUGGACAAUGGGGGCAACCCUGAUCCAGCCAUGCCGCGUGUGUGAAGAAGGCCUUUUGGUUGUAAAGCACUUUAAGCAGGGAGGAGAGGCUAAUGGUUAAUACCCAUUAGAUUAGACGUUACCUGCAGAAUAAGCACCGGCUAACUCUGUGCCAGCAGCCGCGGUAAUACAGAGGGUGCGAGCGUUAAUCGGAAUUACUGGGCGUAAAGCGAGUGUAGGUGGCUCAUUAAGUCACAUGUGAAAUCCCCGGGCUUAACCUGGGAACUGCAUGUGAUACUGGUGGUGCUAGAAUAUGUGAGAGGGAAGUAGAAUUCCAGGUGUAGCGGUGAAAUGCGUAGAGAUCUGGAGGAAUACCGAUGGCGAAGGCAGCUUCCUGGCAUAAUAUUGACACUGAGAUUCGAAAGCGUGGGUAGCAAACAGGAUUAGAUACCCUGGUAGUCCACGCCGUAAACGAUGUCUACUAGCCGUUGGGGUCCUUGAGACUUUAGUGGCGCAGUUAACGCGAUAAGUAGACCGCCUGGGGAGUACGGCCGCAAGGUUAAAACUCAAAUGAAUUGACGGGGGCCCGCACAAGCGGUGGAGCAUGUGGUUUAAUUCGAUGCAACGCGAAGAACCUUACCUGGUCUUGACAUAGUGAGAAUCUUUCAGAGAUGAGAGAGUGCCUUCGGGAAUUCACAUACAGGUGCUGCAUGGCUGUCGUCAGCUCGUGUCGUGAGAUGUUGGGUUAAGUCCCGCAACGAGCGCAACCCUUUUCCUUAUUUGCCAGCGGGUUAAGCCGGGAACUUUAAGGAUACUGCCAGUGACAAACUGGAGGAAGGCGGGGACGACGUCAAGUCAUCAUGGCCCUUACGACCAGGGCUACACACGUGCUACAAUGGUAGGUACAGAGGGUUGCUACACAGCGAUGUGAUGCUAAUCUCAAAAAGCCUAUCGUAGUCCGGAUUGGAGUCUGCAACUCGACUCCAUGAAGUCGGAAUCGCUAGUAAUCGCAGAUCAGAAUGCUGCGGUGAAUACGUUCCCGGGCCU